rnacentral:rRNA from 1 species
UACGGAGGGAGCUAGCGUUGUUCGGAAUUACUGGGCGUAAAGCGUACGUAGGCGGUUAUUCAAGUCAGAGGUGAAAGCCCGGGGCUCAACCCCGGAACUGCCUUUGAAACUAGAUAGCUAGAAUCUUGGAGAGGUCAGUGGAAUUCCGAGUGUAGAGGUGAAAUUCGUAGAUAUUCGGAAGAACACCAGUGGCGAAGGCGAACUGACUGGACAAGUAUUGACGCUGAGGUACGAAAGCGUGGGGAGCAAACAGGG